rnacentral:tRNA from 6 species
GGAGGAGUGGCCGAGUGGUUAAAGGCGGCAGACUGUAAAUCUGUUCUCUACGAGUACGUUGGUUCGAAUCCAGCCUCCUCCACCA